rnacentral:rRNA from 1 species
AAUCAACGCUGGCGGCGUGCCUCAGACAUGCAAGUCGAACGAUUAAAGCUCUCUUCGGAGAGUGUAUAGAGUGGCGCACGGGUGAGUAGCACGUAAGUAAUCCACCUUUGAGUGGGGAAUAACCCGGGGAAACCCGAGCUAAUACCGCAUAAUGCAGCGGCACCGCAAGGUGACAGUUGUUAAAGGAGCAAUCCGCUUAAAGAGGGGCUUGCGGCAGAUUAGCUAGUGGUAAGGUAAUGGCUUACCAAGGCUUCGAUCUGUAUCCGGCCUGAGAGGGCGGUCGGACACACUGACACUGAAUAACGGGUCAGACUCCUACGGGAGGCAGCAGUCGGGAAUUUUGGGCAAUGGGCGAAAGCCUGACCCAGCAACGCCGCGUGAAGGAUGAAGUAUUUCGGUAUGUAAACUUCGAAAGAAUGGGAAGAAUCAAUGACGGUACCAUUUAUAAGGUCCGGCUAACUACGUGCCAGCAGCCGACGGU